rnacentral:tRNA from 1 species
GGCCUCAUAGUUCAAGGGAUAGAAUAGAGGUUUCCUAAACCUUAGAUCCAGGUUCGAGUCCUGGUGGGGCUACCA